AUGCGCGGGCUCCAUGACUGUUCGGUUGACCUCUCCUGUGUCAAUCGAGCUCAUGUUGUGCUUCUUCCGAAGGGCGAGGGGGUACUUGCGCCCGGCAGGUUCCGUCCCAUCUCUCUCCAAAACUGUGAUGUCAAGAUCCCGUGCAAGGUCCUCACCACUCGGCUACAACAGCAAAUCGCGGACGUGGUUGGUGUUAACCAGUAUGGGUUUAUCCGUGGGCGGAGUAUCUCUGAGAACUUUGUGUUCGCUACGGAGAUUGUGCAGUGUUGCCAAGCCCGCCAAGCCCCCGCCCUUGUUCUGAAGCUGGAUUUCGCCAAGGCCUUCGACUCCAUCAACUGGCGAAGCCUACGCCGGAUUAUGGAGGUGCGCGGCUUCCCCUCUCUCUGGUGUGAUUGGAUGGACUCUAUCCUCCAGUCGUCCAUGUCUGCGGUGAUGCUCAAUGGUGUGCCGGGGAGAUGGAUCCGAUGUAAAAAAGGGCUGCGGCAGGGGGACCCCCUGUCUCCGUACCUUUUCCUGCUGGUUGCUGAUGUGCUCCAACGUAUGAUC
rnacentral:rRNA from 1 species